rnacentral:rRNA from 1 species
UUGGAGACCACAACGUUGAUAGGUGGGGUGUGUAAGCGUAGCGAUACGUUGAGCUAACCCAUACUAAUUACCCGUGAGGCUUAACCAU